rnacentral:rRNA from 1 species
GCAUAACGCGAAGAACCUUACCAAGGCUUGACAUAUACGGUCUAUCCCUAGAGAUAGGGAGUGCUUCGGCGCCGUAUACAGGUGGUGCAUGGUUGUCGUCAGCUCGUGUCGUGAGAUGUUGGGUUAAGUCCCGCAACGAGCGCAACCCUCGUCCUAUGUUGCCAGCGGGUAAUGGCCGGGGACUCAUGGGAGACUGCCGGGGUCAACUCGGAGGAAGGUGGGGAUGAGGUCAAAUCAUCAUGCCCCUUAUGUCUUGGGCUUCACGCAUGCUACAAUGGCCGGUACAAAGGGCUGCAAUACCGCAAGGUGGAGCGAAUCCCAAAAAGCCGGUCUCAGUUCGGAUUGAGGCCUGCAACUCGACCUCAUGAAGUCGGAGUCGCUAGUAAUCGCAGAUCAGCAACGCUGCGGUGAAUACGUUCCCGGGUCUUGUACACACCG